rnacentral:tRNA from 1 species
GGGUCUGUGGCCUAACUGGGUAAGGCAACGGACUUUUAAUCCGUGGAUUGCGGGUUCGAGUCCCGCCAGACCCA